AACUGCCAGCUUGAGAUGGGGCUGCCAGUUUUCCUCUCUUCCUUGCUUCUGACCCGGGUUGGAUUUAACGAAUUUUGAGGGACAGCCAUCCGCCCUUCUUUCAUCGUCCUGCUCCGGCUGCUUCUGCUCCCAGCUGCCCAGUGGAUCUUCCAGCCCUGUUCAAAGUCCUCGAUGACUCCCUGUGACCACAGAGGAAAUAGCAACCUCCUCAGCUUUUAAUUGACCACGGUCCAGAUGGUCAUCAUUCAGAGCCCAGGGGAAACGCCAGGUCCUCUGUGAAGCUGUCGUCAUUACUCUGCCUGAAAUGCUCCCUUCCUCUCAGGUUUCCUAUAUCACGUUGCUUACCCUGCUCUCAAACACCUGUGAUGGCCUCGCCACACACAUCUUCCCAUAUCCGCCUCAUGUCCUUAGACUGUGAGCCCCUGGAGGGCAGGACGCUACUGAAAGCCACUCUGAUUUUCCCACCCACAGCGCUUCCUUACCUAGUCCCCCGGCCCCGCCCACGAUCGGUGCUUGGUUGAGUACUUGUUGAAAGGAUGGGCGACAGUAGGAACGAAUAAAUGAAUUCGGGUAGAGUGAGGUGCA
rnacentral:lncRNA from 1 species